GUCCUAGCCGUAAACUAUGAGUACUGAAUUGGAGGGCCCUCCAUAGCCCUCCAGUUGAAGCGAAAGUGUUAAGUACUCCGCCUGGGGAGUAUGGUCGCAAGGCUGAAACUCAAAGAAAUUGACGGGGGCUCACACAAGCGGUGGAUGAUGUGGCUUAAUUCGAGGCUACGCGAAGAACCUUAUCCUAGUCUUGACAUGCACGGAUUAACUCCCGGAAACGGGAGCCAGGCCUUCGGGUACAACGUGCACAGGUGCUGCAUGGCUGUCGU
rnacentral:rRNA from 1 species